AUGGCGGAGGCUGCGAGCGCAGAAGAGGCCGCGCCUCUCCACCCCGGCCUCCCGGAUGAGAUCUUCAUCUGGGAGGUCCUCGUCCGCCUGCCCCCCAAAGCCCUCCUCCGCUGCCGCGCCGUCUGCCGCGUCUGGCGCCGCGCCACCUCCGCCCGCGACUUCCUCCUCGCCCACCACGCCUGCCAGCCCGCCCUCCCGCUCCUCUACGUCUACAACAUCGAGUCCCUAGACAUCAUCCCCUUCGACCGCCGGGCAGGGGCCGCGGCCGACGACCAGCUCCGGCCAGUCGCGCGACUUGGCCAGGGCCCCUUCCGCGCGAUCGCCUCCUGCGACGGCCUCCUCGUCUUCGCCAUGAGCGACUGCCGCUUCUCCCUCUGCAACCCGGCGACUCGUCAGUAUGCUCGCCUCCCGGUGCCUCCUGGCUUCGUGCCCUUGGGGAUGUACUCGCGCAGCCCAACCGGCGAGUACCGGCUAUUGCUGUACAAGUUCCCCACUGGACCGGCGCCUGACGCUCAAGGUGGCUCCUGCGUGUUGGUAUUAGGCUCCGGCCAGCCGCCACGGUCCAUAGGGUGCCCUGAUGCUAGGGAACUGGCAUUCAGCCUGUCAUUCCUGUUCCGCGGUGGCCUGCAUUGGCACAAAGAGCAGAAUGAGAGGAUAGUGGUAUUCGACACCACCACUGAGUUGUUCCGGCACAUGCGCGUUCCGGUUGUUUCUCGCUGCACUAACCUGUUUGAGAUGGAUGGAAUGCUCGGCGUGUCCAGCUUUAAUUAUGCAGCGGCAACCAUCGAUAUCUGGAUGGCGCAGGACUACACGAGCGAGGUCUGGUGCAACAAGUACCACAUUGAGUUGCCGGUUGCAAAGCUCACCACGCGCUUUGGAAGGUUUAACACACAUGGGUUUGGGGUAGUCGCUUCUUCGGAUGGUCAUUUGCUCAUGCUGCUCAAAUUUAGCGACUGGCUACUUCAGGUUGAUAUGGAUGGCAAGUUGGUCGCUAGUUUCCAUUGCAAAGGCCUUGCUUAUACUAGAUUUUGGCUCAAACAAACUUUAGUUUCGCAUACCUUCUUUCCGGCACUAGAGCGUUAUGUUGUGAACGCUAAGCCUUUCAUCUGA
rnacentral:rRNA from 1 species